UACGUAGGGUGCAAGCGUUAAUCGGAAUUACUGGGCGUAAAGCGUGCGCAGGCGGUGAUGUAAGACAGAUGUGAAAUCCCCGGGCUCAACUUGGGAACUGCAUUUGUGACUGCAUCGCUGGAGUGCGGCAGAGGGGGAUGGAAUUCCGCGUGUAGCAGUGAAAUGCGUAGAGAUGCGGAGGAACACCGAUGGCGAAGGCAGCCCCCUGGGCUAGCACUGACGCUCAGGCACGAAAGCGUGGGGAGCAAACAGG
rnacentral:rRNA from 1 species